rnacentral:rRNA from 1 species
GACGAACGCUGGCGGCGUGCUUAACACAUGCAAGUCGAACGGUGAAAGGGAGCUUGCUCCCUGGAUCAGUGGCGAACGGGUGAGUAACACGUGGGCAACCUGCCCCAGACUUCGGGAUAACGCUUCGAAAGAGGUGCUAAUACCGGAUACGAGCUCUCCAGGCAUCUGGAGAGUUGGAAAGUUUUUCGGUCUGGGAUGGGCCCGCGGCCUAUCAGCUUGUUGGUGAGGUAACGGCUCACCAAGGCGACGACGGGUAGCCGGCCUGAGAGGGCGACCGGCCACACUGGGACUGAGACACGGCCCAGACUCCUACGGGAGGCAGCAGGGGGGAAUAUUGCGCAAUGGGCGAAAGCCUGACGCAGCAACGCCGCGUGAGGGAUGACGGCCUUCGGGUUGUAAACCUCUUUCAGCAGGGAAGAAGCGAAAGUGACGGUACCUGCAGAAGAAGCACCGGCUAACUACGUGCCAGCAGCCGCGGUAACAC